rnacentral:rRNA from 1 species
UACGUAGGGGGCAAGCGUUGUCCGGAUUCAUUGGGCGUAAAGAGCGUGUAGGCGGCCUGAAAGGUCAGCUGUGAAAACUCGAGGCUCAACCUCGAGACGUCGGUUGAAACCAUCUGGCUAGAGUCCGGAAGAGGAGUGUGGAAUUCCCGGUGUAGCGGUGAAAUGCGCAGAUAUCGGGAGGAACACCCGUAGCGAAGGCGGCACUCUGGGCCGAUACUGACACUGAGGAGUGAAAGCGUGGGGAGCGAACAGG